GAUGAACGCUGGCGGCGUGCUUAACACAUGCAAGUCGAACGGAAAGGCCACAGCUUGCUGUGGUACUCGAGUGGCGAACGGGUGAGUAACACGUGGGUGAUCUGCCCUGUACUUCGGGAUAAGCUUGGGAAACUGGGUCUAAUACCGGAUAGGAAUCACAUGUGGGUGUGUGGUUGGAAAGCUUUUGCGGUAUGGGAUGAGCUCGCGGCCUAUCAGCUUGUUGGUGGGGUAAUGGCCUACCAAGGCGUCGACGGGUAGCCGGCCUGAGAGGGUGUACGGCCACAUUGGGACUGAGAUACGGCCCAGACUCCUACGGGAGGCAGCAGUGGGGAAUAUUGCACAAUGGGCGCAAGCCUGAUGCAGCGACGCCGCGUGGGGGAUGACGACCUUCGGGUUGUAAACUCCUUUCGUCAGGGACGAAGCGAAAGUGACGGUACCUGGAUAAGAAGCACCGGCUAACUACGUG
rnacentral:rRNA from 1 species